GACGAACGCUGGCGGCGUGCUUAACACAUGCAAGUCGAACGGGUCUGCCCUGUUUUUUGCGGGGUGGGUCAGUGGCGAACGGGUGAGUAACACGUGAGUAACCUGCCCCUCACUUCUGGAUAACCGCUUGAAAGGGUGGCUAAUACGGGGUGUUCUGGCUGUGCCGCAUGGUGUGGCUGGGAAAGAUUCACUUUUGUGGUGUUUUGGUGGGGGAUGGGCUCGCGGCCUAUCAGCUUGUUGGGGGGGUGAUGGCCUGCCAAGGCUUUGACGGGUAGCCGGCCGGAGAGGGUGGGCGGUCACACUGGGACUGAGCUACGGCCCAGACUCCUGCGGGAGGCAGCAGUGGGGGGUAUUGCACAAUGGGCGGAAGCCUGAUGCAGCGACGUCGCGUGAGGGAUGGAGGCCUGCGGGUUGUGAACCUCUUUCGCCGGUGAAGAAGGUCCUGCUCUUUGUGGUGGGGUUGACGGUAGCCGGGUUAUGAAGCGCCGGCUAACUACGUG
rnacentral:rRNA from 1 species